GCUUUACUUCUUCGGUUUACAUUGGAAAUGUAAAAGCUGUCGAAUUACUUCUUCUUUUUUUGCUAAUCAUCGAACUACAUUAUUGUCAAUUUCUAUGAUGUUUCUGUUGAAGUUAAUUAGCUUGUAGUAAGGUAUCUACGUGGAACAACUUCACUUGGACUUUUGUUUUCGCGAUCAACACAACUUGAACUGGUGGGCGAUAGCGAUAGUUUACACAAAGUUGGCACUG
rnacentral:lncRNA from 1 species